rnacentral:rRNA from 1 species
GAUGAACGCUGGCGGCGUGCUUAACACAUGCAAGUCGAGCGCGGUCCCUUUGGUGCUUGCACCAAAGAAGACUGAGCGGCGGACGGGUGAGUAACGCGUGGGUAACCUGCCCUAUACACAUGGAUAACAUGCUGAAAAGCAUACUAAUACAUGAUAACGUACACUGAUGGCAUCUUCGGUGUAUCAAAGCGUUAGCGGUAUAGGAUGGACCCGCGUCUGAUUAGCUAGUUGGUGGGGUAAAAGCCUACCAAGGCCACGAUCAGUAGCCGACCUGAGAGGGUGAUCGGCCACAUUGGAACUGAGACACGGUCCAA